AGAGGUAUAGGGAAUUCAUGGCAUGUUGUGUCAUUGAACUUCAUAUUAUUUACUUUGGGCUCAAAAGAAUUUUGGCUCAGAUCAGGUUGAAAAAGGAAAACAGAACGAAGAAACACGUUGCUUGAAUUCUGGUCCAGCCGCUGACUAAACAUACGACUUGGGCAAAGUCACAUCAGAUUGCUGUAGGUGGCAGCUGUCUCCAAAGAUGGCCCCCAGUGAACUCUGCCUCUACUUAACAUCUUUGUGCAGUCCCCUGCCAGUGUGACCAGGAAUGGUGCUGUGGCGCCCUUUUAACCAAUAGGAUGUGGGAGAAGUGAUACUACCUAAGCUGCGUUAGAUGGCCAGGCAGCUUCUGCUUCUGUGGUCUUGGAAGCCAGUCCGGAUGCAAGAAGUCUGAGUGUCCUGCUGGGGACAGAAGCCACGCAAAGGGAGUCGGAAGGCCAGGCGCCGCAUGAAGAGUGAGGCGUCACUGAGGAGCUUUUAGGUAACGGGCACGAGACGGACGAUACCAGAUUGGAAGCUCCAACCCACUCGAGCUUCAGAAGACACCAGACUCGCUCAUCACAUGACGGCAACCGCGUGAGAGACCCCGAAACAAAUACAACAGAGAAGAAAUGCCGGGAUGCUAUGGAAAUACAGAGGAUUUGGGGACAAACUUCUAUGGUGGUGCUAAAUGCCUUACAAACAAGCAAACAAAAAGCCAUUAAAGAAUUUGUAAGAUGUUAUCGCCAAGCAAAGACAGACUGUGUGAGAGGCACACAAGAGUGAAGUUGAGGCUCAUUGGGGGGAAAAGUAAGUUUAAUUGUAAUGAUGGAAAGUUGUGGUAUAUCCUCUUAAAAGGAGCUAUGGAUGCACAGUUUCUUGAGUUAUUGUAAGGUUGUAUGAAUCGCUGGAGAAUAUGCCUUUGAGGAGAAUUCUGAGCAAUGCUUCGUGAGAAAAGGGACACCCCGGAGGACCAGAUAGGUCUUUUGCAUGUCUGUGUGGAUGGUUUUAUGGCCCCGGAACUGGGAGUGCAGAGCAAAUCUGAAAAAGGAAGAGUCAUUUGAGAUUUACGAUAGCAACAAAAAUAUUUGUCUUCUAAGGAAACCUGGUUGGAAAUCAAGGUUUACAGGAUUUUAAACAGAAACAUACUUUAUUUAAAAAAAAUUACAAUAAUCUCACGAUUGUUUUAAAAUAUUUGAGCCGACCCUAAAAUAAACCAUACUUCCGUAAA